UGCUCUUCUGAUCUAAGGGAUUGACAGAUUGAUAGCUCUUUCUCGAUUCUGUGCGUGGUGGUGCAUAGCCGUUCUUAGUUGGUGGAGCGAUUUGUCUGGUUAAUUCUGAUAACGAACGAGACUCUGGCAUGCUAACUAGUUAUGUGACCCCCCCGAGCAUGCUCAGAUAAA